ACAAUAAAGAAUGGAUUUUAAAUAUUUACAAGGUGUCAUUGGGGACCAAAAAAAAAGGUUCUACUAAACGAAUGGUUGACUUGAGCAAUGUAUAACUGCCUAAAAGAUGCAGCUACCUGAUGUUCUUAAAUAAAAAGACAAUGCACAAAGAUAGAAUUUAGACUGUUUGACGGUUGCACCAUAUUGAUUAAAUCAUGGCAAAAUGUGCAUUAAAUCAAAAUGAGUCUGAUAACAGAAGGCGAUAAAAAUACAUAUGAA